GCUGGAGGUAUCAGAAGUGCGAAUGCUGACAUGAGUAACGAUAAGGGGAGUGAAAAACUCCCCCGCCGAAAGACCAAGGUUUCCUGUCCCAUGUUAAUCAGGGCAGGGUAAGUCGGCCCCUAAGGCGAGGCGGAAACGCGUAGUCGAUGGGAAACAGAUUAAUAUUUCUGUACUUCUAUAUAUUGCGAAGGAGGGACGGAGUAGGCUAGGUGAGCACGGCGUUGGUAGUCCGUGUGAAAGUAUGUAGGCGGUUGUCUUAGGUAAAUCCGGGACUUCAUUAACGCUGAGAUACGAGACGAGACUCUACGGAGUUGAAGUCAUUGAUGCCAUGCUUCCAGGAAAAGCUUCUAAGCUUCAGAUAUAUAGGAACCGUACCCCAAACCGACACAGGUGGUUAGGUAGAGAAUACUAAGGCGCUUGAGAGAACUCGGGUGAAGGAACUAGGCAAAAUAGUACCGUAACUUCGGGAGAAGGUACGCUCUCUAAUGUGAAUGACUUGCUCAGUAAGCAUCGGAGAGUCGAAGUAACCAGGUGGCUGGAACUGUUUAUUAAAAACACAGCACUGUGCAAAAUCGAAAGAUGACGUAUACGGUGUGACGCCUGCCCGGUGCCGGAAGGUUAAUUGAUUGGGUUAGUCCUCGGACGAAGCUCAUGAUCGAAGCCCCGGUAAACGGCGGCCGUAACUAUAACGGUCCUAAGGUAGCGAAAUUCCUUGUCGGGUAAGUUCCGACCUGCACGAAUGGCGUAAUCAUGGCCACACUGUCUCCACCCGAGACUCAGUGAAAUUGAAAUUGCGGUUAAGAUGCCGUAUACCCGCGGCUAGACGGAAAGACCCCGUGAACCUUUACUAUAGCUUGACAGUGAACAUUGCUCCUACAUGUGUAGGAUAGGUGGGAGGCUUUGAAACCGCGUCGCUAGAUGCGGUGGAGCCAACCUUGAAAUACCACCCUUGUAUGCGUGAUGUUCUAACCUAGGGCCCUUAUCGGGCUUGGGGACACUGUCUGGUGGGUAGUUUGACUGGGGCGGUCUCCUCCCAAAGAGUAACGGAGGAGCACGAAGGUUGGCUAAGUACGGUCGGACAUCGUACGGUUAGUGCAAUGGCAUAAGCCAGCUUAACUGCGAGACAGACACGUCGAGCAGGUACGAAAGUAGGUCAUAGUGAUCCGGUGGUUCUGUAUGGAAGGGCCAUCGCUCAACGGAUAAAAGGUACU
rnacentral:rRNA from 1 species